GACGUAGGGAGCGAGCGUUGUCCGGAUUCAUUGGGCGUAAAGAGCGCGUAGGCGGCCGUGCAAGUCGGUUGUGAAAUCCCGGGGCUCAACCCCGGGACUGCGUCCGAUACUGCACGGCUCGAGGCAGGUAGGGGAGAGUGGAAUUCCCGGUGUAGCGGUGAAAUGCGCAGAUAUCGAGAGGAACACCGGUGGCGAAGGCGGCCUUCUGGACAGUGACUGACGCUGAGACGCGAAAGCGUGGGGAGCAAACAGG
rnacentral:rRNA from 1 species